rnacentral:rRNA from 1 species
GGGGGGGGGGGGGGGGGGGCUUUGGGCGUGCGGGGCGAGGGGCGGCGCGGGCUUCGGCCUGGCGGCGAGUGGCUAACGGGUGAGUAAUGCAUCGGAACGGGCCCAGUAGUGGGGGAUAGCCCGGCGAAAGCCGGAUUAAUACCGCAUACGACCUGAGGGUGAAAGCGGGGGACCGAAAGGCCUCGCGCUAUUGGAGCGGCCGAUGUCGGAUUAGCUAGUUGGUGGGGUAAAGGCUUACCAAGGCGACGAUCCGUAGCUGGUCUGAGAGGACGACCAGCCACACUGGGACUGAGACACGGCCCAGACUCCUACGGGAGGCAGCAGUGGGGAAUUUUGGACAAUGGGGGCAACCCUGAUCCAGCCAUGCCGCGUGCGGGAAGAAGGCCUUCGGGUUGUAAACCGCUUUUGUUCGGGAAGAAAUCCUCUGGGCUAAUACCCCGGGGGGAUGACGGUACCGGAAGAAUAAGCACCGGCUAACUACGUG